rnacentral:rRNA from 1 species
UAGGGAAUCUUCGGCAAUGGGGGCAACCCUGACCGAGCAACGCCGCGUGAGUGAAGAAGGUUUUCGGAUCGUAAAGCUCUGUUGUAAGUCAAGAACGGGUGUGAGAGUGGAAAGUUCACACUGUGACGGUAGCUUACCAGAAAGGGACGGCUAACUACGUGCCAGCAGCCGCGGUAAUACGUAGGUCCCGAGCGUUGUCCGGAUUUAUUGGGCGUAAAGCGAGCGCAGGCGGUUUGAUAAGUCUGAAGUUAAAGGCUGUGGCUCAACCAUAGUUCGCUUUGGAAACUGUCAAACUUGAGUGCAGAAGGGGAGAGUGGAAUUCCAUGUGUAGCGGUGAAAUGCGUAGAUAUAUGGAGGAACACCGGUGGCGAAAGCGGCUCUCUGGUCUGUAACUGACGCUGAGGCUCGAAAGCGUGGGGAGCGAACAGGAUUAGAUACCCUGGUAGUCCACGCCGUAAACGAUGAGUGCUAGGUGUUGGAUCCUUUCCGGGAUUCAGUGCCGCAGCUAACGCAUUAAGCACUCCGCCUGGGGAGUACGACCGCAAGGUUGAAAC